GACGAACGCUGGCGGCGUGCUUAACACAUGCAAGUCGAACGGAAAGGCCCUGCUUGCAGGGUACUCGAGUGGCGAACGGGUGAGUAACACGUGGGUGAUCUGCCCUGCACUUCGGGAUAAGCCUGGGAAACUGGGUCUAAUACCGGAUAGGAGCCAUUUUUAGUGUGAUGGUUGGAAAGUUUUUUCGGUGUAGGAUGAGCUCGCGGCCUAUCAGCUUGUUGGUGGGGUAAUGGCCUACCAAGGCGGCGACGGGUAGCCGGCCUGAGAGGGUGGACGGCCACAUUGGGACUGAGAUACGGCCCAGACUCCUACGGGAGGCAGCAGUGGGGAAUAUUGCACAAUGGGCGCAAGCCUGAUGCAGCGACGCCGCGUGGGGGAUGACGGCCUUCGUGUUGUAAACUCCUUUCGCUAGGGACGAAGCUUUUUGUGACGGUACCUAGAUAAGAAGCACCGGCUAACUACGUG
rnacentral:rRNA from 1 species